CGAUCAUGUCGCCUGUUUAAUCAAAAACAUGUCUUUUUGAAUAUAAUUUAAAGUCUAACCUGCCCACUGAUAGAAAUAUUAAAGGGCCGCGGUAUUUUGACUGUGCAAAGGUAGCAUAAUCAUUUGUCUUUUAAUUGAAGGCUGGAAUGAAUGGUUGGAUGAAAUAUUAACUGUCUCAUUUUUAAAAAGAUAAAAAUUUAGCUUUUUAGUUAAAAGGCUAAAAUUAAUUUAAAGGACGAGAAGACCCUAUAGAUCUUUAUAAUAAAAAUUUUAUGAUAAAAUAGUUUUAAAUAAUAUUAUAAGAUAAAUUAUUAUUUUGUUGGGGUGAUGGGAAAAUUAAAUAAACUUUUUUUAAUUAAUUAACAUAAAUUAAUGAAUUUAUGAUCCAAUUUUAUUGAUUAAAAGAUUAAGUUACCUUAGGGAUAACAGCGUAAUUUUUUUGGAGAGUUCAUAUCGAUAAAAAAAGAUUGCGACCUCGAUGUUGAAUUAAAGGUUAUUUCUAGAUGUAGGAGUUUAGAGUUUAGGUCUGUUCGACCUUGAA
rnacentral:rRNA from 1 species